rnacentral:rRNA from 1 species
AAGGCUAAAUACUCCUGACUGACCGAUAGUGAACCAGUACCGUGAGGGAAAGGCGAAAAGAACCCCGGCGAGGGGAGUGAAAAAGAACCUGAAACCGUGUACGUACAAGCAGUGGGAGCACGCUUAGGCGUGUGACUGCGUACCUUUUGUAUAAUGGGUCAGCGACUUAUAUUCUGUAGCAAGGUUAACCGAAUAGGGGAGCCGAAGGGAAACCGAGUCUUAACUGGGCGUUAAGUUGCAGGGUAUAGACCCGAAACCCGGUGAUCUAGCCAUGGGCAGGUUGAAGGUUGGGUAACACUAACUGGAGGACCGAACCGACUAAUGUUGAAAAAUUAGCGGAUGACUUGUGGCUGGGGGUGAAAGGCCAAUCAAACCGGGAGAUAGCUGGUUCUCCCCGAAAGCUAUUUAGGUAGCGCCUCGUGAACUCAUCUCCGGGGGUAGAGCACUGUUUCGGCAAGGGGGUCAUCCCGACUUACCAACCCGAUGCAAACUGCGAAUACCGGAGAAUGUUAUCACGGGAGACACACGGCGGGUGCUAACGUCCGUCGUGAAGAGGGAAACAACCCAGACCGCCAGCUAAGGUCCCAAAGUCAUGGUUAAGUGGGAAACGAUGUGGGAAGGCCCAGACAGCCAGGAUGUUGGCUUAGAAGCAGCCAUCAUUUAAAGAAAGCGUAAUAGCUCACUGGUCGAGUCGGCCUGCGCGGAAGAUGUAACGGGGCUAAACCAUGCACCGAAGCUGCGGCAGCGACGCUUAUGCGUUGUUGGGUAGGGGAGCGUUCUGUAAGCCUGUGAAGGUGUACUGUGAGGUAUGCUGGAGGUAUCAGAAGUGCGAAUGCUGACAUAAGUAACGAUAAAGCGGGUGAAAAGCCCGCUCGCCGGAAGACCAAGGGUUCCUGUCCAACGUUAAUCGGGGCAGGGUGAGUCGACCCCUAAGGCGAGGCCGAAAGGCGUAGUCGAUGGGAAACAGGUUAAUAUUCCUGUACUUGGUGUUACUGCGAAGGGGGGACGGAGAAGGCUAUGUUGGCCGGGCGACGGUUGUCCCGGUUUAAGCGUGUAGGCUGGUUUUCCAGGCAAAUCCGGAAAAUCAAGGCUGAGGCGUGAUGACGAGGCACUACGGUGCUGAAGCAACAAAUGCCCUGCUUCCAGGAAAAGCCUCUAAGCAUCAGGUAACAUCAAAUCGUACCCCAAACCGACACAGGUGGUCAGGUAGAGAAUACCAAGGCGCUUGAGAGAACUCGGGUGAAGGAACUAGGCAAAAUGGUGCCGUAACUUCGGGAGAAGG